UUCCGGUUGAUCCUGCCGGAGGCUACCGCUAUUGGAGUUCGAUUAAGCCAUGCGAGUCGCGAGUCUUAGGGACUCGGCGUACCGCUCAGUAACACGUGGGUAACCUGCCCUAUGCUGGGGGAUAACCUCGGGAAACUGAGAAUAAUACCCCAUAGUUCACCACGCCUGGAACGGUGGGUGGACCAAAGCUCCGGCGGCAUAGGAUGGGCCUGCGGCGUAUCAGGUUGUAGGGGGUGUAAUGUACCCUCUAGCCCUCUACGCGUACGGGUGUUGAGAGACAUCGCCCGGAGAUGGAUUCUGAGACACGAAUCCAGACCCUACGGGGUGCAGCAGGCGCGAAAACUUGGCAAUGCGAGAAAUCGUGACCAGGGAACUCCAAGUGCAUCGGGUAAGACCGAUGCUUUUCUUGACUCUUCAAAGGUCUUGGAAUAAGGGGUGGGUAAGGACGGUGCCAGCCGCCGCGGUAAUACCGGCGCCCCAAGUGGUAGUCGCUUUUAUUGGGCCUAAAACGUCCGUAGCCGGUCUGGUACAUUCGUGGGUAAAUCAACCAGCUCAACUGGUUGAAUUCUGCGAGCACGGCCAGACUUGGGACCGGGAGAGGUGUGGGGUACUCUCAGGGUAGGGGUAAAAUCCUGUCAUCCUGAGAGGACCACCUGUUGCGAAGGCGCCACACUAGAACGGAUCCGACGGUCAGGGACGAAGCCUAGGGGCACGAACCGGAUUAGAUACCCGGGUAGUCCUAGGUGUAAACGCUGUGGACUUGAUGUUGGGGGCGCUCCGAGCGCACUCAGUGUCGAAGCGAAGGUGAUAAGUCCACUGCCUGGGGAGUACGGUCGCAAGGCUGAACUUAAAGGAAUUGGCGGGGGAGCACCGCAACCUGAGGAUUGUGCGGUUUAAUUGGAUUCAACGCCGG
rnacentral:rRNA from 1 species